rnacentral:lncRNA from 1 species
UUACUGGUCACCUGCACUAACAGCCUGAGAGAAAAGGACACUGCAUAUCACAGAGAGAUGCAUAGAUGUUACACUCAGAAAGAGAGUGAACAACUAGAAGAUGUGGAAGAACCAGUUUGGCUCUGGAGUCAAGAAUUCUCAAAACAGCUUUCUGAACCUGAAUCGCACGCAGUAAAGCUGGUGUUCUCCUGAAGCCAACAUUUAUGGUAUCACCUUGCUGAUCCAGGCAAAAUGGCAAAAGUGUAGUGAACAUAAAGCCAGGGGCUGAGAUUGUGGAUGUCCUCUGUACCAAGUUUCUUAUUAUGAAAAUUCCAAGGGCCAAUUUUGAAACAAACCAGGCAGAGACCCAGAUGCAGAAUCCUGCAGGCUGAGGGAUGUUAGGAAGAGUUAGCCCACCACUGCUGCGCUGAAACCAGGAUGACGCAAACUGGGCCUCAGGCCAGGCUUAGAAUAUAAACUGACACCUUGAAGAAGUGACCAUCUUGUAAUCAACACUUUAUUCUAAGGAUAACAGAGAUAAAUGAUAUAAGGAUCUCUGUUUCUUAAUGGCAUUGUUGAGCCCUAAACUUUCUACUGCUAGAUAUUUUAUCGCAUGAAAUAAAUAAGCCUUAGUUGCUUAAAAUAUUUUUCAGGGAUUUCUAUUUUGGUAGGCAAGUAUAUUGUUAACUUAUACAAUGCACAGUUGUAUAAGUUAUGUGGACAUGGAAUUAUGCACAAAACAGAAUCUAAAUGGUGGAAUUGGAAAUGCAAUAGGUAGGGUAUAUCAGGAAAUGAGAAUCCUGCCACUAUAGGCUAGAACGUUGAUGAGUCUUGUUUUGUAGUAGUGGGGCAUGUAUUCCAUUUGACAUAUGCUGUGUCUUGGGAUGCAAAUCACAUACCUUGUGAGGUAAGUAGUGGGAUGAUUUCAGAAUGUUGGAAUGUUCUGGUUACUCAAGG